rnacentral:piRNA from 1 species
UAGACGGGAGCAAUUCUGGGUUAACGUU